CGCGGCCCUCAGGCCCCUCACGCCCCCCCGGCCCUACCUCGAACGGUACCGGAGCGCUGUUUGGUGCCUUCUGAGAGCCCCCGGGGCUUCUCGGUGCUGCUGUGAGGCCUUCUGGGGCCGAAAUCAGCAUCGCUGCCGCAUUAAAAGUCGAUUUCAUUAACCCUUGAGGGCCUGUAAAUUGCUUGUUUUCUGGUGGCUGCUUCCCCACAGCUGUUUGGUUGGAUUGGAGCAUGGAGCCCAUCUCCCUGCCAGAACCAGGCAUGUCUGCAGGAAACAGCUCAUCUGUGGCACAGCAGAAAUUCCAUGUGCUGGUGGGAGUGACUGGAAGCGUGGCUGCCCUCAAGCUGCCCCUGCUCGUGUCAGAAUUGCUGAAAAUCCCUGGGCUCGAGGUGAAGGUGGUCACUACUGAGAGAGCAAAACAUUUCUACAAUGCCCAGGAGAUUCCUGUUACCCUCUAUGGCGAUGAAGAGGAGUGGCAGCUGUGGAAGGGCCGCUCAGACCCCGUCCUGCACAUUGAGCUCCGGCGCUGGGCUGACCUCAUGGUGGUGGCACCUCUGGACGCCAACACGCUGGCAAAGGUCGCCAAUGGCAUCUGUGACAACCUGCUGACUUGUGUCAUCCGCGCGUGGGACCUGAGCAAACCCCUGCUCUUCUGCCCAGCCAUGAAUACGGCCAUGUGGGAGCAUCCCAUCACAGCUCGGCAGGUGGAGCAGCUGAAGGGCUUUGGUUACACGGAGAUCCCCUGUGUGGUGAAGAAACUGGUGUGUGGAGAUGAAGGCACUGAAAAUUGCUGCGUGGGAAGAGACGUGUCUGAAGGUGAUGAAUGGCUUUGCUAUGUCUGCCAAGCAGAAGUUUUCUUUUGAUGGGCACCAAAACACCUGGGCUUGCCCUUCCUGGCUGGAAGAGUGAAAUUCCCUAAAACAGCUCACAAAUACAGGCCAAAUCAGUAGUUUCAGGAGAAAAAGAGGAAGGCUGAAGGUGCCACUGCAGAGGAGGGGAGAGGCCAGGCUCAGCAGCCUGAGCUGGUUCUUCAAGGCAUUCCAGCCCCAGCAGCAUCCCAUGGUGAGAAGUUCCCUGGAUGAAUGUGCAGCCUUAACUCACCUCUGCCAGGGCAGGGACCUGGCAGUGGAGCAUCACCAGUAAUUUUCCACCCAUCUGCACGCUGUGGAAAUACACCCAGGCAUGGAAAAAGCCUAGAAGGGAAUAAAGAAGACACUUGGCCAGUAGAGCUUGGCUGGCUCCCAGCUCAAGGAAAAGCUUCAGGUUCAUCCCCAGCUCUCCAGUGCUUGGCAGGCUCGGCUGCCUCAGCUUCUACAAACGGGACAGGCCAGCAGCAUCCCUGCCAAAACCCCGGGUGCUCCCACUCCAACGGCUCCCUGUGCCCACGGGUUUGCUGCAAGACAGAAAUGGGGGAAAGUUGCCUUUUUGUGGGGUUUGGUUGGGAUUUUUUCCUUCUUCUCCCCGCGGAGAAAAGGAGAAGGAAAUACUUGGCAUGGAGGGCGGAGAGAGGGGGAGGUUGGGGACAGCGUGGAUGUGGUGGUGGGAGAUGAGCGGUCCCUUAAUGAGACUCUAAUUACUCCAGCCAAGAUCCACAUUAGCCCGAUGAGGUUUUUACGAGGGCAGUAAGAUGUCCCAGCCUGCCGGGGCGGUGAUUGCGGCCUCGGGCUCUCCGAGGAGCCGCUGGUGCUCCUGCUGCAAUUCGAUUCCAGCUCGGCAAGAGUGGCCGGCUCGUUUCCCAACCUCGCGGUACUAAUCCCUUGUACCUCAGUGGUGCAGCAAUAACCCCCGGAGCCACCACCGCCUCUCACUGCCGGCGGCUGCAGAGCACAAGAUGUUCCUAGACAAGGCUCCUCACACCCUGUGCAGCCCGGCAAACAAGGGCGGCUUCCCAAAUCCCACCAGCAUCCUGCCCCCAGCAGCUUUCCAUUGAAAACACCCUCAAAGAGUCGCUGUCCCCAGCCCACUUCCUUGAAAACUCAGGUUGCUGUGAAAACAGUGGUGAAACAGGCUGGGAAGAGGGCAUCAAGGGCAGACGUGACCGAGGUCUGUGAUAUCCUGAUGAGUCCAGAGAAGAUAAGUGAUGAGAGGGUGAUGACUCGCUGCCUCUUGUGCAAAACCCAGGACCAGCAUGUCCAAAGGAUUUUUCUCCUUAGGACUUCUCCUGACACAGGAGGAUGAAGACAGAUUCAAAAAGCAAUUCCUGGGAGAGGAAGCCCCCCAGGACACCAAGACCAUCUCCAGCUCACUCUGCUGAAGUGUAGAAGCUCACUGAGGUCUGAUGUUUUCCUGGGAUCCUCUGCUUCAGCUGAUGGUUGUGGAGGAAGAAAACCCAUCAGCGAGGUGUUGCUCCCACAUCCAAGGGACAGGGUAGCAGUCAGUUCCUGGGGACAGACUGGCCAAGGGUUGGCCAAGCUCCAGGGUCAGGACUGGCAGGCAGGAGCAGGAGCAGGAGCAGGAGCAGGAGCAGGAGCAGGAGCAGGAGCAGGAGCAGGAGGGGGUUAUGUGGUGGAGGUGGACAUGAAGAAAACAAGAUAUCCCCAUUCCCAAGGCUGCUGAAGGAAGCUGGAGACACCAGGAUUUAACCCCAUGGGAAGAAUGAGUCAGUCACAGGGAUGACCACAAGGUUCUGUUAUCACAAGGAUCUGUUAUUGGUGGAAAAUCUAUCUCAUGAGGGCAUCAAAGGUAGAUCCUUGUGUGCCAAAAGGAGGGGAGAAGGGGAGAAAAAGAGGACAAAGAUCCUCUGUGUCAGACAAGGAGAGUUCUGUGGCCCCCAGCCCCUCUGUGACGGUGCAGGAGGAGGUUCAAAGCCCCAGGUCCUUCCAUUUGAGAGCUUCUUCAGCCCAUCCUGGCAGCCCAAGGGUUGGGGGAGCGGGGAGGGGAAGGUCUCACUCUCUGACAUCACCACGGAGCCCCAAGCUGGGCCCAGCGUGUGUUACUCACCUUGAAACUAUGUGAGUAAACAGAGAAGGCUCCUCUUCCCAGUCCCACCUCAGCAAUUAGGCUGCAGACCAAAUCCACCCCGGCAGAUCACAGAUCACGGGGAUGCUCUGCUCUCUCUGGUGAGUCCUCAAGCCAAGCUACCCAGGAGAGGACGAUGGUGAAGCUCUAGUUGGCCUCCAGGCCCAUCCCCUCCUAUAUGGAGCUUCUUGGAGAUGUCCCACCAGGAGGAAAGCAGCCCUUUCCUGUUACUUAUGGUGUUUUUAUAGUGUAUCACCAUUUUUUGUGGCUGAGCAGCAGCGACACUCAUGGCUCACUCUGACAUGGGGGAAGUGGAGCCAGCUGGGAAGAGCCCUGUUGAGAGACUUGACACCAGCUAGGAGGAAGAAGAGAUGAUCCCACAGGAAAGGGACCUCCCUGCUAGCACAGCAAAAGCCUCUGAGCUCCAGGGAUUUUGUGGGCACCACUGCAGCCAUGAGUCCCAUUGGAUCCUGAUGCCAUCCACCUUGGUCCUUGGGCCACAGAGGCUUGGCUCUUCUCUGUGGAAAACCUUCAUCCAUCUUGGUAUCCUCUUCCCCACCAGUGCCUAGAGGAAGAGGAGAGACCACCCUGGUCCACCCUAUAGGGAAGAGAGCAGCCUCCAGAGCAGGACUGGAGCCAGCCCAGAGCCAGGGAGCCUUGCAGAGGGCUGAAGCCUUUCCAGGACUGACAGUGGUUUCUGCAGGCAGGAGAGGGAAUAAAAUGGUCAGAUUCCUCACAAUUCCAUGCCUGUCCUCCCACACAGAGUGAAGGAAUGUGGGAGAUACCGCAGCAAUGCCAUGCAAAUACCCUGGAGAGGUGAACCUACUCCUGACCCCAGCUAGGGAGAGAACAAAAACUGUUUUAAAGACUUUUAGAGCAUCUUGAUGCAUCCGUGGCAGGCUGGUAGGCACUGGAUGGCUGGGAGGCAGCUGAUGGGUCAAUAGCCUGAAGGAGCACUGAACACAGGGACAUCAGAGAGAACUGGUGGAGACAGAGCCUUGUAGCCAUUCCCACACUGGAAAUCAUGUAGAAAUAAAUAAAUUAACCAUUCCAGAGCUUUAGGUACAGGCAGCAUCAUCUGUGCUGGCACAGAUGCAGGGAUUCUCUUUGGGAGUGAGGCCACAGAUGGGAGGAGAAGGGGAAGAAGGUCCAUGUGUUGCUGAGGUUCAAACCAGGUGACCUCAAGCAGAGCAGAAAAAGGAGGGGGGAAAUAAAAAGAGGUAAUAAAUGGCAGCUUCCUCAGGUUGAUCCCUUGUAAGGCUUACUCAGAGUUACAUCAUGGUGCUUAUUAGGAUGCAGAUCCCUGAGAGCCACAGCUCCAGAGCCUCUGGAAGGAUCCCUGGGGAUGUGAGGCCCCCUGGCCAGCAGCCAGGGCAUUAGGGAUGGCACCCCAGACCCAGCUGUGCCACGAAGGGACUUGGCUUCCUUUCGGAGCCCAGAGAAGUGAGGGGUGUUGGGGCACGGGGCAGGCUCCUGUCUGUGCUCAUCCCGCUGUUCCUGUGGCUGGGACCGCACAGCUGCUGCUGGCCGGAGCAGAGGGCAGCUCGCCAGCUUCCCUGGCUCGGCUGUCAGCACACCCAGGGCUCUGCCAAGACCACAGCUCUAUUCCUCACCACACAGCACUGAGCAAGGUGCUUUCCCUGCCCUGGCUGCUCUCUUCUCUGAACCGGGAAUGCUGGGGUGUCUCUGGAGGUGCCCAAGGAACAAACCUGGCUAGGGGGCUGCUUGCCAGUGGAAGGGCAGGAUGCAGAGGUGGGUCUCACAGGGGAAUCCCAGCCCAGGAAUCUCUGCUCCUGGGUGUGAGAUUCCUGCUAAAGGCCUUCUCUCAUGCCCCAGGAUGCUCCUGAUGCUGGUGAGAAACUGUGCUGUGAGACUGGCCUGGAUGUUCCGUGGGUAUCCAUCCUUGGCUUUGGGGGUGUUUCCUUUCUGCAGACAGGGAGCAGAUGAGCCACUCCAGUGCCUGCAUCCGGCAGAUAAUCCUGCUGAGAGUGGGGAGCGUGUCAGGAGCAUCCCCAGCACUGCCACUGUCCCAGGACUUCCCACAGAGGGAGCAUCCAAAUGUGCCAAGCUUAGCAAGUCCGGCCGUGGAAUUCAGCGCUGGAGCCAUGGACUCCAGGCCCACAUCCCGAUGCACAAGGGGCUUUCCUCAGCUUUGGGUUUGAUGCCUCAGCAAGGACCUGUUCAGACCAUCUGAAUCUCUAAGGCAGAGAUGAACCACAUGGGAAGUUGAGACAGAAGGAAAAAGAACGAAACAUCAGCUUUCAGAGUCCAGCUGGAUGCCUGGCAGCAGGGAUAUGGCCAAACCAGGAUGAGGAAAGGUGUUUCUCAAUUGAUAUAAAUGUAUGAGCCAACUCAAGCUUAAAGGGAUUGUCUGCCAUUUCAAGGGAAUUCUCAUUCUGUUCAGUGAGGUAAAAAUGAACACUGGUAGUUUUAAUGCCCUUAACUCGAAAUAAAAAGCUGUAUUAUCCUCCCA